AAGAAUUACCAUCUGAAGAUCAAGAAUCUGAUGCUUGCAUUAUAUGCCAAGAAGAAUUUGAAAGUAAGGAAAAUGUUGGAAUUCUUGCAUGUGAGCAUGCAUUUCACGUCGGGUGCAUAACGCAAUGGUUGUUGAUCAAAAAUAAGUGUCCAGUAUGCAAAUCUGAAGCUUUGACUCCUGCAAAGGUUGAAUAGAAGAAAUUCAUAGACUUUUCAUAGCUAUGAAUAUCUUUUUCUUUCUGAAUAUGCACUUUUCAAAUAAUUGGAUUUUGGACAUGUCUUGUUAUGUUAUUUGAUUAAUGCUGUUGUUGGGUACUAGAACUUAAUAUCUUUAAAUUUUUGCUGACAUUGUUAUGGUGGAUGUUUUUUUCUUCAAAUAAUUAUAAUGAUACUUUUGAAUUUA